rnacentral:rRNA from 1 species
UCGAGUUGAUCCUGCUCGAGGUCACUGCUAUUGGGGUUUGAUUAAGACAUGCACGUCUCGGACACGAUUAAGGUCCGGGCGCACAGCUCAGUAACACGUGGACAAUCUGCCCUAGGGAGGGAAAUAACCUCGGGAAACUGAGGACAAAGUCCCAUAGGAGGCAAGCACUGGAAUGUCUGCCUCUCAAACGAGAAAACCUGUAUUUUCGGUUUAUCGCCCUAGGAUGAGUCUGCGGCGGAUUAGUUUGACGGUAGGGUAAUGGCCUACCGUGACUAUGAUCCGUACCGGCCUUGGGAGAGGGAGCCGGGAGAUGGACACUGAGACAAAGGUCCAGGCUCUACGGAGUGCAGCAGUCGCGAAACCUUCGCAAUGCGCGCAAGCGUGACGAUGGAACCCCAAGUGCGCAUGUACAACAUGUGCUUUUACUAAGUGUAAAAAGCUUAGGGAAUAAGGGCUGGGUAAGACUGGUGCCAGCCUCCGCGGUAACACCAGCAGCUCAAGUGGUGAUCGCGUUUACUGGGUUUAAAGCGUACGUAGUCGGUCUAGCAAGUCUUCUGUGAAAUCCAUAAGCUCAACUUAUGGGAUGGCAGAGGAAACUACUAAGCUCGAGACCGGGGCAGGAGUGGGGUAUUUCAGGGGUAGCGGUGAAAUGCUAUAAUCCUUGGAGGACCACCAGUAGCGAAGGCGCCACUCUAGAACGGGUCUGACGAUGAGGUACGAGAGCUAGGGGAGCGAACAGGAUUAGAUACCCUGGUAGUCCUAGCUGUAAACGAUGCGGAUUUAGUGUUCCUUGAACCUCGUGUUCGAGGAGUGCUGAAGGGAAACCGUUAAAUCCGCCACCUGGGGAGUACGGUCGCAAGGCUGAAACUUAAAGGAAUUGGCGGGGGAACACCACAAGGGGUGGAUGCUGCGGUUCAAUUGGAUACAACCCCGGAAAACUCACCAGGGGCGACGGCACUAUGAAGGUCAGGCUGAAGGUCUUACCGGAGGAGCCGAGAGGUAGUGCAUGGCCGUCGUCAGCUCGUACCGUGAGGCGUACGGUUAAGUCCGUUAACGAGCGAGACCCGUACCAUUAUUUGCAACCUUCGAGGAUACUUGGAGGGCACUAUAGUGGGACUGCAUGCGAUGAGUGUGAGGAAGGCGCGGGCAACGGUAGGUCAGUAUGCUCCGAAUCUCCUGGGCUACACGCGGCAUACAAUGGCAUGGACAAUGGGUUGCAACACCGAGAGGUAGAGCUAAUCCCCUAAACCAUGUCCCAGUACAGAUUGAGGGUUGCAAUUCACCCUCAUGAAGUUGAAAUCCCUAGUAAUCGCUUUUUACCAUAAAGCGGUGAAUAUGUCCCUGUUCCUUGCACACACCGCCCGUCAAACCAAUCGAGUGGAUUUGAGAUGAAGCAUACUCAACCGGGUGUGUUGAAUCUCGGGUUCGCGAGAGGGGUUAAGUCGUAACAAGGUA